UACGUAGGGUGCAAGCGUUAAUCGGAAUUACUGGGCGUAAAGCGUGCGCAGGCGGUUGUGCAAGACAGAUGUGAAAUCCCCGGGCUUAACCUGGGAACUGCAUUUGUGACUGCACGGCUAGAGUGCGGCAGAGGGGGAUGGAAUUCCGCGUGUAGCAGUGAAGUGCGUAGAUAUGCGGAGGAACACCGAUGGCGAAGGCAAUCCCCUGGGCCUGCACUGACGCUCAUGCACGAAAGCGUGGGGAGCAAACAGG
rnacentral:rRNA from 1 species